AACUGGUCCUGCCCUUUUAAAACAGAACAAAACGGUCAUUCAAUUAUCAUUUUUGUUGCAUUUUUCGUCCUACCCCCCAUUUUAUUCUCCAAAAACGCAGAGAAAUAACAGUUUUAAACCUACCCCCUAUGCUCAACCAUGAAAUAAACAAGGAAUAAAGCAUGUGGGUACAAAGAAUCCACUUUAUUCAACACACUAACCAAAAAAACCAUAAUUUCUAAG
rnacentral:lncRNA from 1 species